UUGCUCAUCUGGUAGUCAUUUAGGCCGUCCCCUCCAACAUGUGCCCAACAGGUGAAUAAAUCCACUAGAUCUUGCUACAGGCUAUGUCUCCAUUUGCAACAAUAGCUACAGGCCGCAACAAAUGCUGCACCAGCCAAUUUGAAUUUGACCAUCUAAAGUCUCAGCUCAUCCUCAGCCGAACAUGCUUUAUCCUGAUGGGUUAUACGAGCACAUAAUGUCAUGUCUGGUUGGUUUAUCUUGGUGUAGGACCUCACCAGGUACACCAGCCAAAACGUAUCGAUUAGCUUAAAUUAUUGUUGCAAUUGUUACAAUGUCCCUACUUUGGCAGCUCUCUCUUUCCUGCCCACAGAGCGUAUCUUGCCCACAGAGCGUAUCUUGAAUGAUGGACCGCGUAUGCAGCCAUCCAGUCAACCGUCCCGUUGGCCCUCUCUGAAUACAUGCUUGACCUCAAAAGCCACGCCAUUUCUCACCCUCAUUCCAAUAUCCCUAGAGGGUGGUCAGUACUCUCACCACCCGGUCCGAAUCCAUAUAUAUACAUGCGCGCACAAACAGAGCAAGGUAUGACCCAUUGAACAGUCUGUUCUGUAUGAUCACAAUAUUCAGUACUGGUCGAGUACUGAUUCCAUCAUCCUUUGGACGCUAGCACCGGCUUUACUCCGUACCUCCAUUAUUUACAUGCUUCGGAUUAUCAGAUAUAUAUAGGCACGCAAAAGGCCCGUAUUCCUUGCUCAGGUGCUAGAUAAAUUUGAAUACAACACUACAA
rnacentral:lncRNA from 1 species